rnacentral:rRNA from 1 species
AACGAACGCUGGCGGCAGGCUUAACACAUGCAAGUCGAGCGAGGCCUUCGGGUCUAGCGGCGGACGGGUGAGUAACGCGUGGGAACGUGCCCUUCUCUACGGAAUAGCCCCGGGAAACUGGGAGUAAUACCGUAUACGCCCUUUGGGGGAAAGAUUUAUCGGAGAAGGAUCGGCCCGCGUUGGAUUAGGUAGUUGGUGGGGUAAUGGCCCACCAAGCCGACGAUCCAUAGCUGGUUUGAGAGGAUGAUCAGCCACACUGGGACUGAGACACGGCCCAGACUCCUACGGGAGGCAGCAGUGGGGAAUCUUAGACAAUGGGGGCAACCCUGAUCUAGCCAUGCCGCGUGAGUGAUGAAGGCCUUAGGGUUGUAAAGCUCUUUCAGCUGGGAAGAUAAUGACGGUACCAGCAGAAGAAGCCCCGGCCAACUCCGUG